UUACUGAAGCCAAAAACACACACAAAUCAAACACAAAUUCAAAAACAAAAUCAAACCUUUGAUUUCAACAUGAAAAAAAGUAGACAAAUGGAUACAAAGAAAACCAAAUCCCAACGACGUCUCAUUCAUAUUUGAUGACUACGAAAGUAUGCUCACCAUUUACGUUCAUUAAGCUGAUCAGUUCAUUACAAACCCUAAGAAACAAUAUAUUGAUGUAAAGGUUGAUUCUUUUAACUUUGUUGAUCUUUAUGGAUUUGAUAUUUUGAUAUGGAGCAACUGAAUUAUAUUAUUAGGGAGUUUAUGACUUCAAAUUGGAACCUGUUUCUGGAUCUUCUUCAUGGCCAAAGAGUCAGCACCCAACUAAACUUCUCCUUCCUUUGCAUAAGACUCAAAUUGGCAGGCCUAAGAAACUUAGAAGGAAGAGUGCUAUGGAAAAAGAAAAAUCAAAGAUUGUAAAGAAUGGAAAACUUACAAGGGCUGGAAAACUAUUACUUGUUUAAAGUGUAAGAACAAAGGCCACAAUGCAAGGCAGCGUAAGGGUCAAAGUGCAAGUCAGAGUCAAAGUCAAGAUGACCGAAGUCAAGCCAGGAAAGGAGUGAAGAGAAGUGAUGCUGCUGUUGCAAGUCAAUCAAGUCAAGGUGUGUAAAGGCCAAAAAAAUCUGCUGCUAAGGAUGCAAGUCAAUCCACUCAAACUGAUCGUGCAAGUCAAUAUACUCCAAAACAAGCUGUUGGUGCAAAUCAAGUUGAUAGUUCCAUCCUUUAAUUUAAUGGUUCUAGUGUAACACUUUCGAAACGAAACAAUCUGUUGGUUAAGUACUUUAUGUGUGUUUUCUUUUGAUGUUUCCUAGUAUGUUGCCACAUUUUGUGUGUUUUUCAGUCAUGUGACUUUGUUUGAACUUCGUAA